UUCUGGCUCAGGAUGAACGCUGGCGGCGUGCCUAACACAUGCAAGUCGAACGAAUAACCCGCCUUCGGGCGGUCAUAGAGUGGCGAACGGGUGAGUAACACGUGACCAACUUCCCCCCGCAUGGGGAUAACCGGGCGAAAGCCCGGCUAAUACCCAAUACUCCGGGCCCUCCGCAUGGAGGGGCCGGGAAAGCCCAGGCGGCGGGGGGAUGGGGUCGCGGCCCAUUAGGUAGACGGCGGGGUAACGGCCCACCGUGCCCGCGAUGGGUAGCCGGACUGAGAGGUCGAUCGGCCACAUUGGGACUGAGAUACGGCCCAGACUCCUACGGGAGGCAGCAGUGGGGAAUUUUGCGCAAUGGGGGAAACCCUGACGCAAGCAACGCCGCGUGCGGGAUGAAGGCCCUAGGGUUGUAAACCGCUUUCAGCAGGGAAGAAACAUGACGGUACCUGCAGAAGAAGCUCCGGCUAACUACGUGCCAGCCGCUGC
rnacentral:rRNA from 1 species